rnacentral:rRNA from 1 species
AUUGAACGCUGGCGGCAUGCUUUACACAUGCCAGUCGAACGGCAGCGCGGGCUUCGGCCUGGCGGCGAGUGGCGAACGGGUGAGUAAUACAUCGGAACGUGCCCAGUAGUGGGGGAUAGCUCGGCGAAAGCCGGAUUAAUACCGCAUACGACCUGAGGGUGAAAGCGGGGGAUCUUCGGACCUCGCGCUAUUGGAGCGGCCGAUGGCAGAUUAGCUAGUUGGUGGGGUAAAGGCCUACCAAGGCGACGAUCUGUAGCUGGUCUGAGAGGACGACCAGCCACACUGGGACUGAGACACGGCCCAGACUCCUACGGGAGGCAGCAGUGGGGAAUUUUGGACAAUGGGCGAAAGCCUGAUCCAGUAAUGCCGCGUGUGUGAUGAAGGCCUUCGGGUUGUAAAGCACUUUUGGCGGGAACGAAAAGGACUGUGCCAAUACCACGGUUCGAUGACGGUACCCGCAGAAUAAGCACCGGCUAACUACGUG